UGUUACGUCAGUUGAAACGUCUUUUUUAUUACUUCUCCGAUGCUGUACAGGCACCACAUCCUAGUUUUCCUAAGUUAAUGCUGUGCAUGAAUGCAUAAAGUACCACAGCAUAAAGCCUUAUAAAGACCACAGUUUACCAGUGCUUGCUGCCGCUUAUUGACCAAAUCCACCAAACAGAGGACAACUUGCCGUGUUCUUUGACUUGAACACACAUCUAUACCUUUGACCGCUCCAAACCAGUGCAUCCUUGGAGACAUCGCAACACCCUGAGAACCCUCUCCGUUUCAGUAACUAUAAAAUGAAUGUCUCAGCUUUAUAAAACCUCUUCAUGCUUGCAAAGUUUGCAGAAAUAUUGUCUGCGUCGUAUCAGAAUGGAGUGAAAGGUGGCAACCAUCCCUGCGAAAGUUCAGCAGAACUCGGUCCUGAAGUUGAAUUAUUCAUCAGACGUCAUUGCCAUUCUUGUCUACCUCUUAAUUGACAGGUGUCUAGGUAUUCUCCCGGAAGAUUGUACAUGUGUGGGCUCAUCCGCGUUCAAGGUACCGGUGGGACACUAUUAUUCCUGACUUCAGUGUAAUGCAGUUCCAGUCGAACUUCUGUGUUUCCCAGGAGUCGUUUGUCUACAUUUGUGAUCGGUUUAGGCAGAAGAUAGCAUAGCAAGAAGGGACGCAACCUUCCGUGUGAGCGUCCCCACUGAAAAAUGCGUGGAAGCUUGCUACUGAAGGAGAAUCCAGGACCAUAAGCCAUCUGUUUGGAGUUGGCUUAUGAAGUGUGUUCAUCUGCUUGCGUGACUGCAACAUAGCCACAAGUGUACUGCUUCCUCUUCACAUGGCAACCCCAGAUGCUAACAAGUUGGUAGAGAUGGAUGUAUUUUUUAACAGUCGCUGGGGAGCACCGCAGUGUGUGUGCGCCAUUUAAUGGUAGUCGUAUUCCCAUAAUUGUGCCUGAGGAGUAUGCCAGAGACUACUACAACCGGAAAAGAUGGUAUUCUAUCAUUUUACCAGCGGUGGUAAAUGGAAAAGGACAAUUCGAGGACGUUUGUGUUGGAUAUCCUGGGAGUGUGCAUGUAUAACUAAAGUAAACAUCUCAGGCUAGUGGGGUAUUACCUGAUUGGUGACCCAGCAUACCCCUUGCAAAGGUGGCUGAUGAAGCCCUUCACGGACACAGGAAGGUUGACCCCACAACAAAGGACCAAUGAUUACAGACUCAGCUGUGCACGAUCUGUUGUGGAGACAGGGCUUGGAAGGCUGAAAGGAAGAUGGAGGUGUCUGCUAAAAAGAAAUGACUGUAAACUUGAACUGUGCAAAAAAAAUGGUUGUUACAUGCUGUAUUUUGCACAUUAUUUGUGAGGAACACAGUGACAGCUACAUUGAUGAAAAUGUUGGCUCUACUGACAGUGUUCAGCCACCUGUUCAGUAUUACCUGAACACCCUGUUUGCAGCAAUGGAAUAUUUCAGUCAAUAUUGUGUGGCUUUCUGUUGUGCCUAUGCCUUUUUUUUCUGUUUUUGUUGUUGUUGGGCUGCAAAAGUUGACAAAUUAUUUGUACCCACUUGUACAGGCAUAUUGUGCGCACGUAAACACACCAA